rnacentral:lncRNA from 1 species
UGUAUCAUAUGAACAUAUGUCUGUGGAAGUGCUAAGGACUCCUUUAAAUACUGAAGAGAGUCGAAACUUAAACUGAACGUUCUCUUUUCUCUCAGGCUUUCUCUAUUAAGAACCCUUGCAAGUACCAAAGCAGCUUCAUCUGAGAGACAAAACGAAAGAUUAAGGAAUGAUGUAGAAUNAAUUGUUUUGUUCUCCAGAUGGAACUGCAUUUCGUGNUCUACAGUGACGUGUUGUUUUAUUUAGAUGUACCUAUAAACUAUAAACAAUGUCAAUAUUUUGUUUUUAAGGGGAUUCUUGUUUUUGUUUUCUACUGCGCAAGAAACACCGAGUUAUGGGACUAUCAUUCGGAAAAGAANCAGCACGAGACNGAGGAGAGGAAUGCNGUUUACCANUUCCAAUACGUGCCAUGAANANACAUGGUCUCAUUACCAAUUCAUAUGCACNCNGAGUUGGCAUCCUGCAUGUCUAUCAUCACCUGCACUCGGCGAACUUUCNCCACUUCUGCAUGGACACCAUAUGCACUACCAAAUCAAGAAAGUCUUAUUCAGUUCCCUGGAUAAAAAAAGAUGAUACAGCGAAAUCCAUUCAGUUAAUUAUUCGUUCCUUUUCGACCAAAACAUUACCNUGGAAUACUCCAGUUUCGAGAUCUUAUUUGUGCAGCCUNAACCUCGAAAGCAUGUAAAAUAUUCUUUUAUUCAGCAGAGAUCCUAUUGUAAUGCAAACACUCUGUCUACAAAGAAGACAAUAAAAAUUUAUGUUUGAUUGAAGCUAAGCUUGCACAAAAGAGAAUUAGAAACUGGAGCAUUGCAGUCAUUUACCUUAGUGAUUUAGAGACGAGUUUUUACAGAGUAAACGUUACAUUGCCUCGUCAGAUUGUACAAGUAAAACUACACUAUUAUACCAAAAAUAUAUGAGACUUUACAAGGAGGACGAUGUAUUCAGGUUUACGAGUAUCCCAGAGCCUUUGCAAGAUUUUCUCAUAUGCGAAAAAUCGCCAUAUAGUUAAUUUAAUUUUGAACUAAUCAAAUAGCAACUUUCAAGAACAGAUCUUAAUCAGAACAAACGGUCGCAAAGGUUGUCGGAUGCAGGUGGAUCCUUCACAUAUGUACUCAAUUGUUUUCAGUUAGAUUGUUACACCUCAGAUAUAGCGUCAAGCGCGUCUUAAUUUUAAUAGGAAAAAAAAUCCCCUUGCUGCCUUGUAAUAAACUAUUUGAAAAUGCAAACAUUAUUCGUUCACAUCAAUAAAAUACACAACUAAUGAUUCGGUGUUUAAGAAGCGUUUUUGAGUAUAUCUUGGAAGGUAACUUGAUCAAAAUGUCAAGAAAUAAAGAGAGUGAAUAAAAGACCGAAAGAAAAUAGGGGAGGGAGUAAAGAAUGGAAAGAAAGAGCUCGAGGGAAACACGAUCUGAUGGAAGUCAAAAAAGGAAAUGGGAACAAAAGAAUAGAAAGGAAAAAAGAGGAGAAAAGGGAAAACAGUCAUUAUAUCCAUAUAUUAUGCAGCUUUUUAUUGAAAUUUAAGCAUAUUUUAGUUGGCAACAAUCAACACGAAUGGAUUACAAUACAUUUAUAUUAAGCUAACGCUUAAAUGCUUCAAAAUCAUGA